rnacentral:ncRNA from 1 species
CAGAUGUAAGUGGUGUUUCCUACUUUCAGUCGUCAGCAUCACUGGCUGAGUGGAAAUAAUCCUUUGGAUGCUAAUUGGUUCGCUAUCUGUGAUUGGUUGCUUCCUUGCGAUACUCACUACUCGGUCAGUGAGGAAGUGCGUUUGCUGGUCAACGAGCUUUCUAACUGUCAUUACCCUGCGCUUUUCGAUUCGUCGAGUGGCCAGGAUGUGGCUUUGAGAUUGUUCGCACUUAGUAAUCGCGAUGCUGGCUUCCAACGGUUGCCUCCGGCCCGUCUUGAAACACGGACCAAGGAGUCUAACGUAUGUGCGAGUGUGUGAGUGGCAAACUUAUACGCGUAAUGAAAGUGAGGCCGUAUGGCCAUGUUGGGGUCACCAACAACCGACCUUGAUCUUCGGUGAAAGGUUUGAGUAUGAGCAUAUCCGUUAGGACCCGAAAGAUGGUGAACUAUGCCUGAGCAGGGUGAAGCCAGGGGAAACUCUGGUGGAGGCUCGUAGCGAUACUGACGUGCAAAUCGUUCGUCAGACUUGGGUAUAGGGGCGAAAGACUAAUCGAACCAUCUAGUAGCUGGUUCCCUCCGAAGUUUCCCUCAGGAUAGCUAGAGUCUUUAUCAGUUUUGUCAGGUAAAGCGAAUGAUUAGAGGUUCCGGGGAAGUAACUUCCUCGACCUAUUCUCAAACUUUAAAUGGGCAAGAUCCAGUAGUUACUUAAUUGAACUAUUGGGGUCAAUGAGACGACUCUAAGUGGGCCAUUUUUGGUAAGCAGAACUGGCGAUGAGGGAUGAACCUAACGCUCGGUUAAGGUGCUAAACUGCUCGCUCAUCAGAUACCACAAAGGGUGUUGGUCGAUCUUAACAGCAGGACGGUGGUCAUGGAAGUCGAAAUCCGCUAAGGAGUGUGUAACAACUCACCUGCCGAAUCGACUAGCCCCGAAAAUGGAUAGCGCUGAAGCGAGUGACCGAUACCGGGCCAUUGUUGCAAGAUAAUUGGCAACAAUGAGUAGGAGGGCGUGGGGGUUG